rnacentral:rRNA from 1 species
CGCGAAUAGCUCAUUACAACAGCUAUAAUUCACUUGAUCUUGACACAAUCCUACUUGGAUAACUGUGGUAAUUCUAGAGCUAAUACAUGCAUUAAAGCUCUGACCUCACGGAAAGAGUGCAUUUAUUAGAACAAAACCAAGCGGCUUCGGCUGUUUUCGGUUGACUCAUAGUAACUGAGCUGAUCGCAUGGUCUUGCACCGGCGACGUGUCUUUCAAGUAUCUGUCGUAUCAACUUUCGAUGGUAGUGUAUCUGACUACCAUGGUGAUCACGCGUAACGGAGAAUAAGGGUUCGACUCCGGAGAGUUCGCCUGAGAAAUCGCGAACACAUCUAAGGAAGGCAGCAGGCGCGAAAAUUACCCACUCUCAGCACGAGGAGGUAGUGACGAAAAAUAACGAGACCGUUCUCUUUCGAGGCCGGUCAUCGGAAUGGGUACAAUUUAAACCCUUUAACGAGUAUCUAUGAGAGGGCAAGUCUGGUGCCAGCAGCCGCGGUAAUUCCAGCU